GACGUAGGGCGCAAGCGUUGUCCGGAUUUAUUGGGCGUAAAGAGCUCGUAGGCGGCUUGUUGCGUCGUCCGUGAAAACCCGCAGCUCAACUGCGGGCUUGCGGACGAUACGGGCAGGCUGGAGUUCGGUAGGGGAGACUGGAAUUCCUGGUGUAGCGGUGAAAUGCGCAGAUAUCAGGAGGAACACCGGUGGCGAAGGCGGGUCUCUGGGCCGAUACUGACGCUGAGGAGCGAAAGCGUGGGGAGCGAACAGG
rnacentral:rRNA from 1 species